CAUAGUUACAUGUAUAGUUACAUAUAUGCAUAGUUACAUGGAUAGUUAUAUGCAUAGUUACAUGCAUAAUUACAUAAAUUGUUACAUGGAUAGUUACAUGCAUAGUUAUAUAGAUGGAUAGUUACAUGCAUAUUUAUAUAGAUGGAUAGUUAUAUGAAUAGUUACACGCAUAGUUAUAUAGAUGUAUAGUUACAUUGAUAGUUACAUGCAUAGUUACAUAGACAUGUUAAUGUCGUUACACAAGUGUAGCAUGUAUGUAAUUACCCAUGUAACUAUCAAACCGUAGUUAUAUGGAUAGUUACAUUGCCAGUUACAUGGGUAGUUACAUGGAUAGUUACAUGGAUAGUUACAUAGAUGCAUUGUUACAUGCAUAGUUACAUAGAUGAAUAGUUACAUGGAUAGUUACAUAGAUGUAUAGUUACAUGGAUAGUUACAUAGAUGCAUAGUUACAUAGAUAGUUACAUAGAUGUAUAGUUACAUGGAUAGUUACAUAGAUGCGUAGUUACAUGGAUAGUUACAUAAAUAGUUACAUAGAUAGUUACAUGCAUAGUUACAUGUAUAGUUACAUACAUAGAUAGUUACAUAGAUACAUAGAUAGAUAAUUACAUGCAUAUUUACAUGUAUAGUUACAUGCAUAGUUACAUGUAUAGUUACAUGCAUAGUUACAUGAUUACAUAGAUAGUUACAUGGAUAGUUAUAUAGUUACAUGGAUAGUUACAUAGUUACAUACAUUGAUAGUUAUAUAGUUGCAUGGAUAGUUAUAUAGUUACAUGAAUAGUUACAUAGUUACAUAGAUUGAUAGUUACAUGCAUAGUUAUAUAGAUGGAUAGUUACAUGCAUAGUUAUAUAGAUGAAUAGUUACAUGGAUGAAUAGUUACAUAGAUAGUUACAUAGGUAGCUUAAUGUAGUUACAUAAGUAAAUAAUAAUUGCAGCGUACCGUUGCACCGCGACAACAACGUUCCGUUGCUUUUAGCUUGUUGUUGAACCGCGAUGGACACUUUAUGCUUUUUGGCCAUAACAACAUACUCAAAUGUAAAAGUAACUGGACAUGUAACUAGUAAAUGCAAAUGUAGCUGACCAUCUAUAGUUACAUGGAUAGUUACAUAAGUAGUUUAAUGUAGUUACACAAGUCAGGUACACAUAAUAAUUACACAAUCCAAAUAAUAAUAUGUAACUAAAGCAACUGUUGAAAGCAACGUAACUAAUUGUGUAACUGUUCAUAUAACUAAUUAUGUAACUGUUCAAAUCCAAAUGAUUCUCCCUCGCCUUGACCCAUUAAUCCCUCUGACUCCUCCGCAGGCUCUUUGUCAUUCCCGCUUGGUUUGUUAACCUCUUGGUCUUCGUUGGCUUGCUGGAGAAUGGUGCCGAGGAAUUUGGCUUCGAAACCAAAAAGAGAACGCCCAAAACAUCAAAGAAAGAGAGCAUUAGACAUUAAUUUGCUGGAGAAACAGUGCAUAUGCAAAUACCUGCGAAAGAGAGAACAUGAGUUUGGACAGAUACUAACAAUAACUUGUAUAUUAGACACAUACUAACAAUAACAUCUAACUAGAAAACAAGCUACAAUACUACAAACUCUGCUUAGUACUUUAGAAGAAUAGCUAGAGAGGAAACUAGUUAUCAACAAUUGAAGAAAUCACUAAAAACCAGAGCCUAUAUACGCUUUGUAAUUGCAGUUCAACAUAGCAAGAUACCACAGAAGAAUACCUAAUCCCCAGCAAAGCUAACCUAGGCAUGAUUCCUCAAGGGAAUCAUUAGAUGCUUUAACUUAGGCAUGAUUCCCAAAGCCAAUUGCUACUGUAACUCAAACCAUAUAUAUGAUCACCAAAAAUUCAAUAAUUAGUCCAAAGGGUGCCAUCUCUUAAAAAUUGUUCCAGAUUCAUUCUCUCCAAUAUUGAUCUCUAGUAAUUUGAUACUAUGAUAAGUUAAUUAAUAUUCUUAGGAAGUACUCUUAUAAGCUCAUUAAGAUGGUUAGGCAGAAUGUUUGUCAGAACAAAGACGAACCUCUUCUAUCAUCUCAGUUUUUAUAUCCUUGCAUUAUGCAGGACUUGCUUAGAGUCUUGCUAAAUUGUCUCUAUGGUGCAUUGUUCAAAUUCUAAUAAAAUUAAAGUGCCUAUUCCCUCUCAAGUGUUAAAAGUCCCCCAAUUAAAGAAAGAUGAAUUAAAGAACAUCUGAAAUUUCAAAAGGACAAACGUUGAGGAAUCGAUAAAUCUUGAUAUGACAAACAGUUUCUUUGCAGUUAAGGUUCACUAGAAUGAGCUCAGAAAGUUCAAAACAACAGCAUACCUUUAAGC
rnacentral:lncRNA from 1 species